rnacentral:rRNA from 1 species
UAAUGAUAAAAUUAGUAUAAUUUAUUGUUAAUUUUUAAUUAUUAAUAAAGAUUAAAUUAAGGAAUUCGGCAAAAUUAAUACUCACCUGUUUAACAAAAACAUGUCUUUUUGAUAUUAAUUUAAAGUCUAACCUGCCCACUGAAAAUUUUUGAAGGGCCGCGGUAUUUUGACUGUGCAAAGGUAGCAUAAUCAUUAGUCUUUUAAUUGAAGGCUUGUAUGAAUGGUUGGAUGAGGUAUUAACUGUCUCAAUUUAAUAAAUAAUAGAAUUUUAUUUUUAAGUUAAAAAGCUUAAAUAAUUUUAAAAGACGAGAAGACCCUAUAGAUCUUUAUAUAUUAAUUUUUAAUAAUUUUUUAGUUUAAAUUUAUUUUUAUUUGUUAAAAUAUUGAAUUGGGGUGAUUAAAAAAUUUAGUAAACUUUUUUUUAUUAGUUAACAAUGAUUUUUGAAUAGUUGAUCCAUUUUUUGUGAUUAUAAGAUUAAGUUACCUUAGGGAUAACAGCGUAAUUUUUUUGGAGAGUUCUUAUCGAUAAAAAAGAUUGCGACCUCGAUGUUGAAUUAAAGGUUAAUUUUAGGUGUAGAAGUUUAAAAUUUUGGUCUGUUCGACCAUUGAAUCUUUACAUGAUUUGAGUUCAAACCGGCGUGAGCCAGGUUGGUUUCUAUCUUUAAUUAAAUAAAAUAUCUUAGUACGAAAGGACCAGGUAUUUGAAAUAGUUUUUUAUAAUUGAAUAACAUUAAU